CUCUGACUCUCUGAAGGAGUUUAUGAACUAAGCUACUACCAUCAUUUGGAGAAAGAUCGUGGGAACGGGAAACCAUCGACGACGACUAGUGAAACGGAAACGGAUGACAGUGGCAGAGUGAGUUUCACUGAACAGCAAUAAAUCCUAAACAAAGACGAUAUACGACGUCUGAGUGAGAGAAUCAUGGGGUAACGACGACGGUGGAGGACGAAUGAACUAAUGCUAGCAUUAUUAAUGAUGGAGGACGACUAGUAACGACAUAUAUCGUUGGCGACAACCAAACAACGGAAAUCGAGGGGUUAACAGAGUAGCAGCUCGAUUUGUAGCAUCUUCAAAGCCUUUUUCAACUCAGAUGUCAAACUUGUCCCAAGCUUCAAGUUCAAGGGGUCAACCAACUCAGUAAUGCAAUUGGGAAGUUCUUUUGUUUGCUGCAACAGUAGGUUGUUUUUGUUUGCCACCUGAACCUCCAGGACAACAACGAAGAAGAAUAGGAUGGAGAAGAGGACAAUUUUGUGCCUGUUUUUGACUUUUGCAGCUAUGGAUGUGCAUAUGGAAACUACUCAGUUUUUAAAAUGUGAUUUAAAGUUUGAAGUUUCAGUUGUAUAUCUUUCCUAUAAACACAGUUCGCUGUACUGAAUUCAUGGUUUCUGUUUAAAGCAUGAAGAAUUAAUUGAUACUGAAUUUCAUUACAAAUUAUGUUCUUUUGUAUGAAUGAUUUGGGUACCGAUCAUGAAAAAAUUCAA